CUACGGGCCGCUGCAGCGAGGAGUUUUGCGCAAUGGGGGAAACCCUGACGCAGCAACGCCGCGUGAGCGAAGAAGGCCUUCGGGUCGUAAAGCUCUGUCAAGUGGGAAAAACGUUUUCCGGUGAAUAGCCGGGAGAUCUGAUGGUACCAUUGAAGGAAGCACCGGCUAACUCCGUGCCAGCGAGCCGCGGUAAUACGGAGGGUGCAAGCGUUGUUCGGAAUUAUUGGGCGUAAAGAGCGUGUAGGCGGUUUAGUAAGUCAGAUGUGAAAGCCCCGGGCUCAACCUGGGAAGUGCAUUUGAAACUGCUUUACUGGAGUAUGGGAGAGGAGAGUGGAAUUCCUGGUGUAGAGGUGAAAUUCGUAGAUAUCAGGAGGAACAUCUGUGGCGAAGGCGACUCUCUGGACCAAUACUGACGCUGAGACGCGAAAGCGUGGGUAGCAAACAGGAUUAGAUACCCUUGUAGUC
rnacentral:rRNA from 1 species